CAUCGACUGUUUCAUCGAGUGAGUUUCUAGAUAGGAUGUGCGACCUUAGUGAACCCUAUCGGGGGAAGCAUGCUGCCAUUGGAGAAAUCUCUAAAGAUAAUAACAGAAAUCAUCCUCUCUCGCGAGCACGACGCUGAUCUCCCUAUUUAUGUUCGACGGCGGGCAAAUGACCACGGUCGACACAGGUGAUGAAUGACGGUGAGGGGGUGAGUGACCCACGACAUCCUGGUAUGAGGCUAAAUCUUCCUCCUCUCUCUCUCCCUCAUCCUUCCUCUCGCAGAAGCUGAAUUCUUCCUUCUCCAUCGCUUAUAAGAUUUCCUCUUUGAAACCCUAAAUCCAAUUCUGGAUGUCUUUUAGUUUGGCCAUGAAAAGGUGGAUUGUAGUCCUGAAGCAAUAUAAUCUCCACUAGACUACUAACAAAGUAGUGUCUAGGAAGGAUUUGAAUCCACUCGGUUCUUUUUCUAGUCCUUCCGUUCAUGGAAAGAUGGCUUCCACCACUGCUAACCCAUGAUUGAUGCCUAAACCAAAAUAACGAAGACUUGGAAGGCUCAAAUCAUAAAGGCAGAGAACCUCCCAAGGCAGCAAGUCAUCAUCGGAUCAUCCAUGCUUCUAGUCCAACACAUUACUGAAGGAAGAGCAACCCAAUUUGAAGUACGUUUACAAGAUUGAUCAAAGGGAUAAAUGUGAGCGAGAUGAUUUUUGUUUCGAAUAGAGGAUGUAAAUGAAAUAUAUAUUGAAUUGAACCUUAAAUAUUAGAUGCCUUCAAAUUGUGCUUCUGCUUUGUGCUUCAAAUCUUUCGAUUUAGAAUCUUUGUUCUUCCACUUCUUUUUCACAUUUCUUUAAAUGCACUCUUAAUCGUCUUGCACUUGUAUUGUCAGAUAUAUUUAUUUUCAAAUUGGUGUCUCAAUACUUCAUAUAUAUUUUCUAAUAUUUUUUCCAGGGCAAAUUAUGUCUAAUUGUCAAUAAAAUUUAGAUGUAGCGAUGUUAUGGAAACUUAUGCUCGUGUACACUAUACAUAAUGGAUGAUUCAACUUUAGGAUGUGGAAAUUGAUUGAUAUUGGCAUAUAAAAAACUAUAUAGUAGUAUUGAAGCAUAUGAUACUUCUGUCCUGCUAAAUCUUUUCAUGAUGAUAUGCUAUUUAUUCUGAUAUGCUUUGGAGCACCUAUAGUCCAUGCAUAAUCUGGUCAUUAAUCAUAGGACCACUGGCAUCCUGUCAUGGACAAAGAAUGUAAUUGUUUUUUUGGUUAUCCUACAUGCUCAUGUGUACACAUACAAGGACUAGAUAUGCUACUUCGAUUUUUUCUUCAAUUUCUAUUUUCAACAUGUCUUAAAGGUUUUGUUAAGCAUGAUGGAAUAGAGUGAGCAGUGCAAUCAAACAUCAGCAUGCACUUGAGUCAUAGAGAUGUUACAACUUGAUGAGGAUAAAGUACCAAGUUCUAUUGCAGAAGUGAUAACUGCCUACCAACAUAUUUUUAUUUAUUAUAUGAAUUGAUCAAAAUCUUAGUUGGAUAUAUCAACCUUCACUAGGGAGGAAGAAUAAAAGCAUGUAUUUUGGUUCUUCAUUCUAAAAUGUGUGUGUGUGUAUAUAUAUAACGGAUUCGAAAUUUUACUUCUUUCUUUAUGAUCUUGUGGGUUUUUGAAAUAUUUUUUCUUGAUGCAUAUUCAGGUUUCCUUGAAUUUCUAUACUAGUCAUCUGAUAUGCAAGUUUCUUUGAUUCAGUACAUAGAAGAAAAUGGUUCCUACAUCCAUUUUGAGUACAUCAUAAGGCUGGUUCAUUGCUUACCUUCUCUUUUUAUGUCUUUGUACAAUCCAUCACAUACAUUCUCGUUUAAUAUUUUCUGUAAUUUUUCUUAAAUUUAGUGAAUUUGUUCACUGAUGAUGUUAUUUCUCUUUUCGAUGGGGAUGAGGCCAAAUGCAAGUAAUUUUGAUCAGUGUUAAAAGAAUAGUAUGUAAUAUUGUCAACACAGUAGUUUCUUCCAAAAGAGUUGCUUGUUUUGUCUUUAAAGUCUUUCAGGUUGAAUAAUGAGAGUUUUUUUGUUGAUGAGUUGAUUCGCCUUGCUUGUAUUUCUUAGGUGCAUGUAGGUCUUCGAAAGAAGAUCUUGGAAAUUGUUGAGGUAGAAAUAUUGAUUCACUUGACUGAUACCUGCAAUUCUGCAUAUGCCAGGAGAGAAAUAAUGGACCACUUUAAUGUAUAGUUAGUUCUUAGCUAUUUUCUGAAUUGUGAACUGCAAACUAUAGCGAGUCUUAAUCUGUUGGGGCAAGGUGUAUUUUCUACUGUAUACGAUGGUCAAGAAGAAGACAGAUGAAGCAAUCAUUUUUGUUGUUAGCUGCCAGCCUAGGAGCCUUGAACAUGGGGGUACUCUGGUUGAUCAAGAAGUUGAAAUUUCAUAAGAAAUACCAGACAAUUCUUUGAUGUUGAAAUCUAUUUUAUGCAAUCCGGAUUUAAGAAAAUAUUGUGAUUUUGAUGAAGUUAUAGAAGCUUGAUUCACGACUUCAUUUUAUCCUCAUCAUCCUCUUUUGUCGUUAUACUUGUCACCUCUUUCAUUAUAUUAUAAAAAAUAUAUUUAUAAUGCCAUCUAAAUAUAUUAUAAUUUUAAUAUGUAUGUUUUUUUUAUUUACUUUUUUAAUGUAAAUAUUAAAAACAGAUUCGAUUAGUUGAUCACCAUCGAGUGACCCACGACUUAUGUGAUGUUCGAUCGUGUUAUCAUGACUAUGAUGUUGAGUUUGUGGAGCUUUUGUGCUUUUAUUCUUUGCAGGUCAUAUAAUUUUGCUUGUAUUUGAUGGCGAGCUUCGGUGCAAAAGUAAGAUUUGCUUAGUUUGUCUCCGUAAGAUAUGUUGUGCCAUGAUGUUGGUCGAGAUCAAGCUGCAGACGAGCCUCUUUUACGGACUGUGUUGCAUAGCUAUAUAGUCAUAUGCAACUUAAUUCUUUUGCCUUGACUGCUCUUGUUUGUCUCAUAACAAGUCAUGAUGAGAUUGUUUAGCCCUCGUAAAACAAAUUACUAUUUGUUAUACGUGACAAAACCAAGAUGCAAUUUUAUUUGUUCUCACAUUUCAUAUAUGUAAUUGACGUUCUUUUGUUUCA